rnacentral:rRNA from 1 species
AAUGAACGCUGGCGGCAGGCCUAACACAUGCAAGUCGAACGGAUCCUUCGGGAUUAGUGGCGGACGGGUGAGUAACGCGUGGGAACAUACCCAAAGGUACGGAAUAGCCUCGGGAAACUGGGAGUAAUACCGUAUGUGCUCGAAAGAGGAAAGAUUUAUCGCCUUUGGAUUGGCCCGCGUUGGAUUAGGUAGUUGGUGGGGUAAUGGCCUACCAAGCCGACGAACCAUAGCUGGUUUGAGAGGAUGAUCAGCCACACUGGGACUGAGACACGGCCCAGACUCCUACGGGAGGCAGCAGUGGGGAAUCUUAGACAAUGGGGUAAACCCUGAUCUAGCCACGCCGCGUGAUCGAUGAAGGCCUUAGGGUUGUAAAGAUCUUUCAGGUGGGAAGAUAAUGACUGUACCACCAGAAGAAGCCCCGGCUAACUCCGUGCCAGCCGCCGCAGUAA